AUUGAACGCUGGCGGCAGGCCUAACACAUGCAAGUCGAACGAGUGGCGGACGGGUGAGUAAUGUAUGGGAAACUGCCUGAUGGAGGGGGAUAACUACUGGAAACGGUAGCUAAUACCGCAUACCAUCAGAUGUGCCCAGAUGGGAUUAGCUAGUGUGUGGGGUAACGGCUCACCUAGGCGACGAUCCCUAGCUGGUCUGAGAGGAGGACCAGGUACACCGGAACUGAGACACGGCCCAGACGCCUCCGGGAGGCAGCAGUGGGGAAUAUUGCACAAUGGGCGCAAGUCUGAUGCAGCCAUGCCGCGUGUAGGAAGAAGGCCUUCGGGUUGUAAAGUACGUUUAGUGGGGAGGCGUUAUCCUCAGAAGAAGCACCGGCUAACUCCGUGCCAGCAGCCGCGGUAAUUC
rnacentral:rRNA from 1 species